rnacentral:rRNA from 1 species
AGUGAACGCUGGCGGUAGGCCUAACACAUGCAAGUCGAACGGCAGCACAGUAAGAGCUUGCUCUUACGGGUGGCGAGUGGCGGACGGGUGAGGAAUACAUCGGAAUCUACUUUUUCGUGGGGGAUAACGUAGGGAAACUUACGCUAAUACCGCAUACGACCUACGGGUGAAAGCAGGGGAUCUUCGGACCUUGCGCGAUUGAAUGAGCCGAUGUCGGAUUAGCUAGUUGGCGGGGUAAAGGCCCACCAAGGCGACGAUCCGUAGCUGGUCUGAGGGGAUGAUCAGCCACACUGGAACUGAGACACGGUCCAGACCCCUACGGGAGGCAGCAGUGGGGAAUAUUGGACAAGGGGCGCAAGCCUGAUCCAGCCAUACCGCGUGGGUGAAGAAGGCCUUCGGGUUGUAAAGCCCUUUUGUUGGGAAAGAAAAGCAGCAGGUUAAUACCCCGCUGUUCUGACGGUACCCAAAGAAUAAGCACCGGCUACCUUCGG